AGGAAAAGAAACCAACAGGGAUUGCCUCAGUAACGGCGAGUGAAGCGGCAUAAGCUCAAAUUUGAAAUCUGGCUCUUUCGGGGUCCGAAUUGUAAUUUGUAGAAGAUGCUUCGAGUGUGGUUCCGGUCUAAGUUCCUUGGAACAGGACGUCAUAGAGGGUGAGAAUCCCGUAUGUGACUGGAUACCUUCAUUCAUGUGAAGCUCUUUCGACGAGUCGAGUUGUUUGGGAAUGCAGCUCAAAAUGGGUGGUAAAUUUCAUCUAAAGCUAAAUAUUGGCCAGAGACCGAUAGCGCACAAGUAGAGUGAUCGAAAGAUGAAAAGCACUUUGGAAAGAGAGUUAAACAGUACGUGAAAUUGUUGAAAGGGAAGCGCUUGCAAUCAGACUUGCGCCUAGUUGAUCAUCCAGGCUUCUGUCUGGUGCACUCAAUUAGGCUCAGGCCAGCAUCGGUUUGGGUGGUUGGAUAAAGGCCUUGGGAAUGUAGCCCUCUUCGGGGGGUGUUAUAGCCCUCGGUGCAAUGCAGCCUACCUGGACCGAGGACCGCGCUUCGGCUAGGAUGCUGGCGUAAUGG
rnacentral:rRNA from 1 species